rnacentral:lncRNA from 1 species
UCAAACAAAUUUGUAGCAUUCAGCUCAGGACCAAGGAUUUGUCCGGGAAAAGAAUUAGGGUUUAAUAAAAUGAAGGCUGUGGCGGCACACGGAUUAAAGGUUAUGGUUACCAAGAGACGGGCAUGAUUAACGCACUUAUAAUAUAUUAGAGAAUUAAAUACAACAAAUUAUAAUCUCCUUGUAAUUAGUUGUAAUCCCAUAAUUCUUGCAAUUAGUCAGGGACUGAGCCAGGAUUUAAUAUUGGGGGGCCAAAAAAUAUAUAUUCAUCCCAAUUAACUACCCCAAUUUAUUUCUGCACAUACAUAAUAUAUAUAUACACACUGAUAUACACAAGCCGUUAAGGACAACUGUUUGAUUGCUAACAAGAGCAUAAUAUAUAUACACACUGAUAUAUUUCCCUUGUGUUAUAUGGGUAUUGAAAUGGGAAUAAUAAGCACAAAAUUAGUAAACAUAACAUUUUGUAUCAGUUUUGAUGACAAGUUCUAGAGCAGUAUCAAAGCCUUCUUUCAUUUGUUAAACCUAGAACACAUUAAAUUCAUACUUGUCCCAAAUUUUCAAGGCUUCAUUUACACAUUCAUAUAGCUCUAAG